rnacentral:rRNA from 1 species
UACAGAGGGUGCAAGCGUUAAUCGGAUUUACUGGGCGUAAAGCGUGCGUAGGCGGUUCGCUAAGUCGGUUGUGAAAUCCCUGGGCUUAACCUGGGAACUGCAGUCGAUACUGGCGGACUAGAGUACGGUAGAGGGUGGCGGAACUCCGGGUGUAGCGGUGAAAUGCGUAGAUAUCCGGAAGAACACCGAUGGCGAAGGCAACCACCUGGGCCUGUACUGACGUUGAGGUACGAAAGCGUGGGGAGCAAACAGG